UACGUAGGGUGCGAGCGUUGUCCGGAAUUAUUGGGCGUAAAGAGCUCGUAGGCGGUUUGUUGCGUCGGGUGUGAAAACCUGAGGCUCAACCUCAGGCCUGCAGUCGAUACGAGCAGACUAGAGUGUUGCAGGGGAGACUGGAAUUCCUGGUGUAGCGGUGAAAUGCGCAGAUAUCAGGAGGAACACCGGUGGCGAAGGCGGGGCUCUGGGCAGCAACUGACGCUGAGGAGCGAAAGCGUGGGGAGCGAACAGG
rnacentral:rRNA from 1 species